CACUUGAUAGCACAUGGUGUGCACCUGCCUUGGCUUUGGCAUUUAGGAACCCAGCUUGUGCAGGAGGUCUUGGUUCGAUUCUGGGUCAGGUGA